AUGAAUUUGGUACCAACUUUGGCUUUCAUUUUGGCCAUUUUACACGGUGUCCAGUGUGAGGUGCAGCUGGUGGAGUCUGGGGGCGAUCUGACAAAGCCUGGAGAGUCUCUGAGACUCUCCUGUGCAGCCUCUGGAUUCACCUUCAGUGAUUAUUACAUGAAUUGGUUCCGCCAGGCUCCAGAGAAGGGCCUGCAGUGGGUUGCACGCAUUAGCAAUACUGGCGGUAAUACAUACUACACAGACUCCGUAAAGGGCCGAUUCACCAUCUCCAGAGACAACUCCAAGAACACACUCAAUCUUCAGAUGAACAGCCUGAAAGCCGAGAACACGGCCACGUAUUACUGUGCAAGGAGCACAAUGUGUGGAAAUAUUCAGAUGGAACUUACCAGCUCGAUAACCAGGAAUUGCCCCUUAAGAUGUAUCCUGUUCAAUUGGGAAAGAUUUGAUCCGGAAAAGCUGGACAAAAAGAAGCUGCUUAUGAAGUGCAACUCUAUUUGGCAACAUUCUCAGGUCCCCAAGGCCUCUGAACCAAGUGUGCCAGUUCCAGGACCACCAUCUCCUGAACCCACUUCGACCUUAUCCAUGUUGGGCCCUAAAUGGACAACCCCUUCUAACAGAGUAGGAAGG